UUAAGCGACUAAGCGUACACGGUGGAUGCCCUGGCAGUCAGAGGCGAUGAAGGGCGUGCUAAUCUGCGAUAAGCGCCGGUAAGGUGAUAUGAACCGUUAUAACCGGCGAUACCCGAAUGGGGAAACCCAGUGUGAUUCGUCACACUAUCAUUAACUGAAUCCAUAGGUUAAUGAGGCGAACCGGGGGAACUGAAACAUCUAAGUACCCCGAGGAAAAGAAAUCAACCGAGAUUCCCCCAGUAGCGGCGAGCGAACGGGGAGGAGCCCAGAGCCUGAAUCAGCAUGUGUGUUAGUGGAAGCGUCUGGAAAGGCGCGCGAUACAGGGUGACAGCCCCGUACACAAAAGCGCAUGUGCUGUGAGCUCGAUGAGUAGGGCGGGACACGUGGUAUCCUGUCUGAAUAUGGGGGGACCAUCCUCCAAGGCUAAAUACUCCUGACUGACCGAUAGUGAACCAGUACCGUGAGGGAAAGGCGAAAAGAACCCCGGCGAGGGGAGUGAAAAAGAACCUGAAACCGUGUACGUACAAGCAGUGGGAGCCCCACCACUAAGCCAGUGGUGAACUCCACAUACGCAUCCUUUGCUGAGGAUACGGUUAACGGAGCGAAAGCGACGUUCAACCUCAAAAGAAGCAGAGGGGGCUUAGUGGUGGGGUGACUGCGUACCUUUUGUAUAAUGGGUCAGCGACUUAUAUUCUGUAGCAAGGUUAACCGAAUAGGGGAGCCGGAGGGAAACCGAGUCUUAAUUGGGCGUUAAGUUGCAGGGUAUAGACCCGAAACCCGGUGAUCUAGCCAUGGGCAGGUUGAAGGUUGGGUAACACUAACUGGAGGACCGAACCGACUAAUGUUGAAAAAUUAGCGGAUGACCUGUGGCUGGGGGUGAAAGGCCAAUCAAACCGGGAGAUAGCUGGUUCUCCCCGAAAGCUAUUUAGGUAGCGCCUCGUGAAUUCAUCUCCGGGGGUAGAGCACUGUUUCGGCUAGGGGGCCAUCCCGGCUUACCAACCCGAUGCAAACUGCGAAUACCGGAGAAUGUUAUCACGGGAGACACACGGCGGGUGCUAACGUCCGUCGUGAAGAGGGAAACAACCCAGACCGCCAGCUAAGGUCCCAAAGUCAUGGUUAAGUGGGAAACGAUGUGGGAAGGCCCAGACAGCCAGGAUGUUGGCUUAGAAGCAGCCAUCAUUUAAAGAAAGCGUAAUAGCUCACUGGUCGAGUCGGCCUGCGCGGAAGAUGUAACGGGGCUAAACCAUGCACCGAAGCUGCGGCAGCGACACUAUGUGUUGUUGGGUAGGGGAGCGUUCUGUAAGCCUGUGAAGGUGUGUCGUGAGGCAUGCUGGAGGUAUCAGAAGUGCGAAUGCUGACAUAAGUAACGAUAAAGCGGGUGAAAAGCCCGCUCGCCGGAAGACCAAGGGUUCCUGUCCAACGUUAAUCGGGGCAGGGUGAGUCGACCCCUAAGGCGAGGCCGAAAGGCGUAGUCGAUGGGAAACGGGUUAAUAUUCCCGUACUUGGUGUUACUGCGAAGGGGGGACGGAGAAGGCUAUGUUGGCCGGGCGACGGUUGUCCCGGUUUAAGCGUGUAGGUGUGUGUUCCAGGUAAAUCCGGUUCACUUUAACACUGAGGCGUGACGACGAGGCACUACGGUGCUGAAGCAACAAAUGCCCUGCUUCCAGGAAAAGCCUCUAAGCAUCAGGUAACAUCAAAUCGUACCCCAAACCGACACAGGUGGUCAGGUAGAGAAUACCAAGGCGCUUGAGAGAACUCGGGUGAAGGAACUAGGCAAAAUGGUGCCGUAACUUCGGGAGAAGGCACGCUGACACGUAGGUGAAGUGAUUUACUCAUGGAGCUGAAGUCAGUCGAAGAUACCAGCUGGCUGCAACUGUUUAUUAAAAACACAGCACUGUGCAAACACGAAAGUGGACGUAUACGGUGUGACGCCUGCCCGGUGCCGGAAGGUUAAUUGAUGGGGUCAGCGCAAGCGAAGCUCCUGAUCGAAGCCCCGGUAAACGGCGGCCGUAACUAUAACGGUCCUAAGGUAGCGAAAUUCCUUGUCGGGUAAGUUCCGACCUGCACGAAUGGCGUAAUGAUGGCCAGGCUGUCUCCACCCGAGACUCAGUGAAAUUGAACUCGCUGUGAAGAUGCAGUGUACCCGCGGCAAGACGGAAAGACCCCGUGAACCUUUACUAUAGCUUGACACUGAACAUUGAGCCUUGAUGUGUAGGAUAGGUGGGAGGCUUUGAAGUGUGGACGCCAGUCUGCAUGGAGCCGACCUUGAAAUACCACCCUUUAAUGUUUGAUGUUCUAACGUGGACCCGUUACCCGGGUUGCGGACAGUGUCUGGUGGGUAGUUUGACUGGGGCGGUCUCCUCCUAAAGAGUAACGGAGGAGCACGAAGGUUGGCUAAUCCUGGUCGGACAUCAGGAGGUUAGUGCAAUGGCAUAAGCCAGCUUGACUGCGAGCGUGACGGCGCGAGCAGGUGCGAAAGCAGGUCAUAGUGAUCCGGUGGKUCUGAAUGGAAGGGCCAUCGCUCAACGGAUAAAAGGUACUCCGGGGAUAACAGGCUGAUACCGCCCAAGAGUUCAUAUCGACGGCGGUGUUUGGCACCUCGAUGUCGGCUCAUCACAUCCUGGGGCUGAAGUAGGUCCCAAGGGUAUGGCUGUUCGCCAUUUAAAGUGGUACGCGAGCUGGGUUUAGAACGUCGUGAGACAGUUCGGUCCCUAUCUGCCGUGGGCGAUGGAGAACUGAGGGGGGCUGCUCCUAGUACGAGAGGACCGGAGUGGACGCAUCACUGGUGUUCGGGUUGUCAUGCCAAUGGCACUGCCCGGUAGCUAAAUGCGGAAGAGAUAAGUGCUGAAAGCAUCUAAGCACGAAACUUGCCCCGAGAUGAGUUCUCCCUGAGACUUUAGGUCUCCUGAAGGAACGUUGAAGACGACGACGUUGAUAGGCCGGGUGUGUAAGCGCAGCGAUGCGUUGAGCUAACCGGUACUAAUGAACCGUGAGGCUUAACCUU
rnacentral:rRNA from 1 species